AUUGAACGCUGGCGGCAGGCCUAACACAUGCAAGUCGAGCGGUAGAGAGGUGCUUGCAUCUCUUGAGAGCGGCGGACGGGUGAGUAAUGCCUAGGAAUCUGCCUGGUGGUGGGGGAUAACGUUCGGAAACGGACGCUAAUACCGCAUACGUCCUACGGGAGAAAGCGGGGGAUCUUCGGACCUCGCGCCAUUAGAUGAGCCUAGGUCGGAUUAGCUAGUUGGUGAGGUAAUGGCUCACCAAGGCGACGAUCCGUAACUGGUCUGAGAGGAUGAUCAGUCACACUGGAACUGAGACACGGUCCAGACUCCUACGGGAGGCAGCAGUGGGGAAUUUUGGACAAUGGACGCAAGUCUGAUCCAGCCAUUCCGCGUGCAGGAUGAAGGCCCUCGGGUUGUAAACUGCUUUUGUACGGAACGAAAGGUUUGUCUUAAUACGAUGAGCUCAUGACGGUACCGUAAGAAUAAGCACCGGCUAACUACGUGCCAG
rnacentral:rRNA from 1 species